rnacentral:rRNA from 1 species
UGCCCGCGACGGGGAGCCCUAGCACAGGUGCUGCAUGGCCGUCGUCAGCUCGUGCCGUGAGGUGUGGGUUAAGUCCCGCAACGAGCGCAACCCCCGCCGUUAGUUGCCAGCGGUUCGGCCGGGCACUCUAACGGGACUGCCCGCGAAAGCGGGAGGAAGGAGGGGACGACGUCUGGUCAGCAUGGCCCUUACGGCCUGGGCGACACACGUGCUACAAUGCCCACUACAAAGCGAGGCCACCCGGCAACGGGGAGCUAAUCGCAAAAAGGUGGGCCCAGUUCGGAUUGGGGUCUGCAACCCGACCCCAUGAAGCCGGAAUCGCUAGUAAUCGCGGAUCAGCCAUGCCGCGGUGAAUACGUUCCCGGGCCUU